rnacentral:rRNA from 1 species
ACUUGCUUCUUUGCCGGCGACCGGCGCACGGGUGAGUAACACGUAUCCAACCUGCCCUUUACUCGGGGAUAGCCUUUCGAAAGAAAGAUUAAUACCCGAUGGCAUAAUGAUUCCGCAUGGUUUCAUUAUUAAAGGAUUCCGGUAAAGGAUGGGGAGUGCGUUCCAUUAGGUUGUUGGUGAGGUAACGGCCCACCAAGCCUUCGAUGGAUAGGGGUUCUGAGAGGAAGGUCCCCCACAUUGGAACUGAGACACGGUCCAAACUCCUACGGGAGGCAGCAUG